rnacentral:rRNA from 1 species
CAGCGCCACAAGUGGGAGUCAUGUUUAUUGGGUCUAAAGCGUCCGUAGCUGGUUUGGUAAAUUUCUUGUGAAAUCGUCGGACUUAAUCUGACGGCGUGCAGGAAAGACUGCCAGGCUUGGAACCGGGAGGGGUUAGGGGUAUUCUAGGGGGAGCGGUAAAAUGCGAUAAUCCCUAGAGGACCACCUGUGGCGAAGGCGCCUAACCAGAACGGAUUCGACAGUGAGGGACGAAAGCUAGGGGAGCGAUCCGGAUUAGAGACCCGAGUAGUCC